rnacentral:rRNA from 1 species
AGUGGCGGACGGGUGAGUAAUGUCUGGGAAACUGCCUGAUGGAGGGGGAUAACUACUGGAAACGGUAGCUAAUACCGCAUAACGUCGCAAGACCAAAGAGGGGGACCUUCGGGCCUCUUGCCAUCGGAUGUGCCCAGAUGGGAUUAGCUAGUAGGUGGGGUAACGGCUCACCUAGGCGACGAUCCCUAGCUGGUCUGAGAGGAUGACCAGCCACACUGGAACUGAGACACGGUCCAGACUCCUACGGGAGGCAGCAGUGGGGAAUAUUGCACAAUGGGCGCAAGCCUGAUGCAGCCAUGCCGCGUGUAUGAAGAAGGCCUUCGGGUUGUAAAGUACUUUCAGCGGGGAGGAAGGGAGUAAAGUUAAUACCUUUGCUCAUUGACGUUACCCGCAGAAGAAGCACCGGCUAACUCCGUGCCAGCAGCCGCGGUAAUACGGAGGGUGCAAGCGUUAAUCGGAAUUACUGGGCGUAAAGCGCACGCAGG